rnacentral:rRNA from 2 species
CCAAUAGCGUAUAUUAAAGUUGUUGCAGUUAAAAAGCUCGUAGUUGAAUUUCGGGAUUGACACAUCGGUCGUGCCUUAAGGGGUAUGAACUGGUGUAGUCAAUUUCUCACCUUCUGGAGAACCGCAAUGCCCUUAAUUGGGUGUCGCGGGGAACCAGGACCUUUACUUUGAAAAAAUUAGAGUGUUUAAAGCAGGCAUUU